ACAUGGAAGUUCCCAGGCCAGGGGUUGAAUUAGAGCGGCAACCGCCAGCCUACACCACAGACAUGGCAAUGUGCUAGAUCUGAGCCAUGUCUGCUACUUAUACCACAGCUUGUGGCAACGCUGGAUCCUUAACCCACUGAGCGAGGCCAGGGAUCAAACGCACAUCCUAACAAACACUAUGUCGGGUUCUUAACUUGGUGAGCCACAAUGGGAACUGCGGUGACAAUAUUUAAUUUUCCUUAUUAAAUACCAUUAUUUUUCAUGGCCACUUCAUUUUCUCUGAAGAAUAAUUUAAAAACUAUGAGAAGGAAAAUAAAUCUUUUCAGCCAGUCAACUAGUUUUUCUUUAAAAGAUUUUUUGAAACACAAAUGAACUUCUGAUCAAAACCUAGGCAUACAGCUGCUUUCUAGAACAGUCUUGUGAGUUCCUGACUCACCCUAAGCCAUCUUCAUGCCAUAUUGCACUCCUACCCUAGUUCUUCCACUAUCUAUUCUGGUUAAUGUGCUUAUGAUAAUUCUCUCUUGCGAAUAAUCUUUGGAUUCCAAGUUAUAUAAAUGACUAUGAAAAUGAUUUUCUUAAGCAAGCCAUUUAAAACUAUCAUGGAUUAGCCUUUAUUUAGACUUUUGUUUGAUAUUCAAAUUAAUGUGUAAUAUGAACAAUAAUGAAAACUAAUUCGGUUAGAAGUAGUAUUGCAAUAUUUAAACUUUCAUUAAUUUGCAUAGGUUUUGCCUACCUUUUUCUGAAUUAAAGUAGUUAUGCACUAAACAUUCAGAUGUAAAAGGGUAAUAAAAGAAUAUUAAAAAUAAAAUAAAAUCGAGCAAAUGAGUAUGCACAGUUUUUAUUCCUUCUGUGGAAAUCUCACAGCAUAAGAGUACAUUGUUCUGUCAAAACCUCUUAUCACAUUGUAUUAUAAUUACUGUUUAUAGCCUAUUUCUCUGUCUAGGUAGAGAACGUCAGGAGAUCUUAACCUAUUAAUCUUUGGAUCCCAAGUUCUGACAUAAUAUCUGGCAAGUAAAGAAUGCUCAGCAUAAAUGCAUUAAAUGAAAGACUAAGUGAGGAGAGAGAAUGUGUGGAAUUUCCUCAUUCUGGCAUUUAUGGUGCAUGACCUCUUACCUCUUAGCUCAGUUGAAUCUUAGCCUCCUCAUCUGCAAUAUGGAUGAAAUAAGGAGUUGUAAGGAGCCUCAAAAGAUACCCUGUGUGUAUGGUAUAGAGAGUUGCGUGGGGCAUGGUUAACUUUUGUAUCCUCUGGCUCAAUCAGAGCUGAUUAAUUUACAAUGUGUCAAAUACAGGGCUAGGUACUGGGACUCCACCUAGUACCUUUCCUCAUGGAGUUGAAAAUCUAGUGGGAGCUGAUGCCAGGUAAAUGGGCAACUGCAAUAACACACUGUGAUAAAGGUUGGGCAAAUUAUAGGAUGCUCAGGAGCACACUGGAGAAUCUUUACCAGAGCCUUAAGGAGUCUGGGGAGGAUUCUUAGAGAAUGUGAUAUCUAAGAUUGAUGUUAUGACAGGCAAUGGAGGAGGAAGUGAAAAGACUAGGAGGAAUGAGUGAGAGGAAUGUUUCCAAAUUGCACAGAAAAAUAUCUAAGUUAAAUUAGCCUUUUCUUCCAUCAUGUAGGAAGUUUUCUCUUUGGAACUAAAUUUACACAAAUUUCCUAGCUUAUAACCUUACUUACCACUUUUGUGAUUUGGUAAAUGUUCUAGCAAAAGAAACAGCAAAAUCCCAUCUUAACAAUGCCCCCCCCCAAAAAAAAAUUGCUAAUAGUGUUCCUAAAUACAUUGUAUAUAAGUAAAUUAGUUAAAAAAAUGUUUUUAAGUAAGUGUUUUACUACUGAGUGAUUUUGCUUCUCAUAUAUUAGAUAUUCUUUGGUUUCCUUAAGGUAAAAAGAAUACUCUUCACAGAAAUAUUUAUAUUGACAGAACUAGCAGUUGACUGGAUUCUGUCACAUUAUAUUGCUAUUUGUGACUAAUCAUCACAUACUGAGUAUAUUACCAUUUUAUAAUGUGAAGAGUAGUGAAAAUAACAUGAGUAAACAAACAAACAAAAAAAUCAAGGCUGGAUUCUUGGUGUAGUCAUGAACUAGAUUUGUAGCUUCAGGCCUAUCACUUAAAUUCUAUUAGAUUUAAUCAUUAUUUUCUUUAUCUUCCUCAUUCACUCUUUAAACAACAUGGAAACAAUGAAAGAAGGUAGAAAUUAGUGGCAUUUAAAAAUGAUUUAAGUAUGGGUAAGUCCUAAGAGUUAAAAAAAAAACAAAAACUUCCAUAUUAUCACCUUACAUUUCAAUUAUGUGAAUUCUAGACUAAGAACUAAAUCUCCUUGAGCACUAUUUAAAAUACAAAUGUAAAUUAUAUGUUUUACUGAAUCAUUUGUUUACAAUAUAAUUACCAUCAGGUAUCCAUGUGUUAAAUGGACUAUACUAACAUCAGUAAAGGAACAUUUUAAAAAUAAUAUUGAUAAAUCCAGAUGUCCAACAUAUUAAAUAAAACUGAGAUCAAAAGAAUUAUGAGUUUUUAAUGAGAUCCUUAGGUAUUUUUUUCCAGAAAUUUGGAUUGUAAAUAUGCUUAACAGAGCAAUUUUAUAAGCUGAAGGGAGGAAAUGAGCUAUGAAUUAAUUCUUUUGAUAUUCAUAUCAUAAUGCAAGAGUUCACUUUGGUCAUUUUGACCCCUCAAGAAUUACAUCCUCUAUUCUUUCUAAAAAUAGCGUACACUAGAAAAAUCUGGUGCCUUUCUGGUCCCUGAUAAAACCAAAUUGCUAAUUACCUUGGAAGAUGAACAUGGCUUCAAACCAUAUAGUAUUUAUUACACGAGUUAUUAUUUUUCCAUCCCCAAAUUUCCUAAUGAUAAGAAACAGCCUAUUUUAAUCAAAUUGGCUUCCCUUCUGCUCCUUAAGUGCAAGAGAC
rnacentral:lncRNA from 1 species